rnacentral:rRNA from 1 species
GCAAGUCGAGCGGUAACAGGAGAGCUUGCUCUCGCUGACGAGCGGCGGACUGGUGAGUAACGCGUGGGAAUCUACCCAGUAGUGGGGGACAACAGUUGGAAACGACUGCUAAUACCGCAUACGCCCUACGGGGGAAAGGAGGGGAUCUUCGGACCUUUCGCUAUUGGAUGAGCCCGCGUCAGAUUAGCUAGUUGGUAGGGUAAAGGCCUACCAAGGCUACGAUCUGUAGCUGGUCUGAGAGGAUGAUC